GAGAAAAUAGCUUAGUGGUUAGAGUAUUAGCUUGUCAUGUUAAAUGUCGCGGGUUCAACUCCCGUUUUUCUCG
rnacentral:tRNA from 1 species